CCUACGGGAGGCAGCAGUGGGGAAUCUUCCGCAAUGGGCGAAAGCCUGACGGAGCAACGCCGCGUGGGGGACGAAGGCCUUCGGGUCGUAAACCCCUGUCAGAGGGAAAGAAGGGCGUCGGCGUGAACAGCGCCGGCGCUUGACGGUACUCUCAGAGGAAGCCACGGCCAACUCCGUGCCAGCAGCCGCGGUAAUACGGAGGUGGCAAGCGUUGUUCGGAAUUACUGGGCGUAAAGGGCGCGUAGGCGGGGAGGUAAGUCGGGUGUGAAAUCCUCGGCCCAACCGAGGAACUGCGCCCGAGACUGCUUCUCUUGAGUCCCGGAGAGGAAGGUGGAAUUCCCGGUGUAGCGGUGAAAUGUGUAGAGAUCGGGAGGAACACCGGUGGCGAAGGCGGCCUUCUGGACGGUGACUGACGCUGAGGCGCGAAAGCGUGGGGAGCAAACGGGAUUAGAUACCCCGGUAGUCCACGCGGUAAACGAUGGGUGCUAGGUGUGGGGGGUAUCGACCCCUCCCGUGCCGAAGCUAACGCAUUAAGCACCCCGCCAGGGGAGUACGGCCGCAAGGUUGAAACUCAAAGGAAUUGACGG
rnacentral:rRNA from 1 species